rnacentral:rRNA from 1 species
CAAUAGCGUAUAUUAAAGUUGUUGCAGUUAAAAAGCUCGUAGUUGAAUUUCUGUGCGAAUCUCUUUUGGCAAUGUCGAGAGAGAGGCGUACAUCCGUCAGAGAACCAAGGUAGGCCUUCACUGGUCUCUUUGGGUAUCUGGCCCUUUACUUUGAAAAAAUCAGAGUGUUCAAGGCAGGCAUAAGCCAUGAAUACACAAGCAUGGAAUAAUAGAAAAGGACUAUGGUCCAUUUUGUUGGUUAUUGGACCUUAGUAAUGAUUAAUAGGGACAGUUGGGGGCAUUCGUAUUUCAUUGUCAGAGGUGAAAUUCUUGGAUUUAUGAAAGACGAACUACUGCGAAAGCAUUUGCCAAGGAUGUUUUCAUUAA